rnacentral:rRNA from 1 species
UGGGGAAUAUUGGACAAUGGGGGAAACCCUGAUCCAGCAAUGCCGCGUGCGUGAAGAAGGCCUUAGGGUUGUAAAGCGCUUUCACCUGUGAGGAUGAUGACAGUAGCAGGAGAAGAAGCCCCGGCUAACUCCGUGCCAGCAGCCGCGGUAAUACGGAGGGGGCUAGCGUUGUUCGGAAUCACUGGGCGUAAAGGGCGUGUAGGCUGCGGAUUUAGUUAGGCGUGAAAGCCCCGGGCUCAACCUGGGAACUGCGCUUAAUACUGGUCUGCUAGAGUCCGGGAGAGGCGAGUGGAAUAUCCAGUGUAGAGGUGAAAUUCGUAGAUAUUGGAUGGAACACCGAUGGCGAAGGCAGCUCGCUGGACCGGAACUGACGCUGAGGCGCGAAAGCGUGGGGAGCAAACAGGAUUAGAUACCCCCGUAGUCC